AGUGAACGCUGGCGGUAGGCCUAACACAUGCAAGUCGAACGGCAGCACAGUAAGAGCUUGCUCUUACGGGUGGCGAGUGGCGGACGGGUGAGGAAUACAUCGGAAUCUACUUUUUCGUGGGGGAUAACGUAGGGAAACUUACGCUAAUACCGCAUACGACCUACGGGUGAAAGCAGGGGAUCUUCGGACCUUGCGCGAUUGAAUGAGCCGAUGUCGGAUUAGCUAGUUGGCGGGGUAAAGGCCCACCAAGGCGACGAUCCGUAGCUGGUCUGAGAGGAUGAUCGGCCCAACUGGACCUGAGACACGUCCCAGACCCUUAGGGGAGGCGGCAUUGGGAAAUAUUGGACAAUGGGGGCAACCCUGAUCCAGCCAUCCCGGUUGGUUGAAGAAGGCUUCCGGUUUGUAAAGCCCUUUUGUUGGGAAAAAAAAGCAGCAGGUAAAUCCCCGGCUGUUCGGCCGUUACCCAAAGAAAAAGAACCGCCUACCUUCGU
rnacentral:rRNA from 1 species